UACGGGGGGAGCAAGCGUUGUUCGGAUUUACUGGGCGUAAAGGGCGCGUAGGCGGCCAGCGCAAGUCGGUUGUGAAAUCUCCGGGCUUAACCCGGAAAGGUCAACUGAUACUGCGCGGCUAGAGUGCGGAAGGGGCAACUGGAAUUCUCGGUGUAGCGGUGAAAUGCGUAGAUAUCGAGAGGAACACCUGCGGCGAAGGCGGGUUGCUGGGCCGACACUGACGCUGAAGUGCGAAAGCCAGGGGAGCGAACGGG
rnacentral:rRNA from 1 species